GAGAGUAGGAUUUGGUUCGGUCCAUUCAUCGAUCUCCCAAAUUCUCACCUUAAACGCUACUUUCACGCUCGGGUAAGAAUAGAAUCAUUGAUAAAGAUAUACAUAUUUUGUUAUUUUUAUGAUUUAUAAAGGUGUAUGAACAACUAUAUGAAUACAAUGAAAUAAUAAAAAUAUACGUGAGCAGCAAACAAAUCUAACAAAGAUGUCACUAACUCUAAACCAUAAUAGGUAUAAGGAUAACAUUAAUUCAACGGGAACAAAUAAUAAUAAUAAAUAAAGAAUUUCAACAAAAAGGUAAAAAAUAUAAACAAGGGAAAAGGGGGGGGGGGGACGUCUCCCCCACCUGGACUGUGGGUGCAGGGACCCAACCCAGAACUGAGCAUGCGCCGGGCGCCGGAGAAAGGGAAAGAUAUCCCGACUGGAACAGGGCAUCACCGCAAUGUGGUGGGAUCGAAUCUGACGGUCCACAAUGGUGUCGAUGCACACACUAUACCGGAGCAAGAACCUUGGUCGAGCCACACAGCGGCUUACGUGAAUGUGUAAUGGCACCCCACCGCGCAGGGGUAGCCUCCAUUGGCAUAUCCACCAUAUCCAGAAGAGACUUGCACAAGAGAGUGCCACUAGUUAGUUCAAAACCCUCAUUUCUCUUUGGUUUGAUUAGUAUCUCAUAUCAUGGUGAAUGAAUACAUAGAAUGGUUGAGAAACAACAUAGGCAUGAAAUACAAACUUACAGCAUAUAAAAAUGAGAGUAUGAUAAUGAGUUCCUUUUUUAAGAACAUAAAACACAUAAAUUAGGUAAGAAGUGAACCUAAAAGUGUUGCAUCCAAAGAGAUAUGGCUCCAAGGGAAGGGAAUGUGUCUUGCUUUUCUAUCUCUUUUUUGGAAAUAAAGCCACCUUUCUAUAUUGCCUUCUGUUACUCUUAUCUUCUUUUAUUUUUCUUUUGCCAAAAGCUGUUGCUAGUGUUAGGGUAAGCUACGGUGGAUUGGAUUAGGAUAUGAUGGUUAGUGAUUUUUGUGUGCCUAAAACUACUGUGUAGAGG
rnacentral:lncRNA from 1 species